rnacentral:rRNA from 1 species
CCGGCGCACGGGUGAGUAACACGUAUCCAACCUGCCGUCUACUCUUGGCCAGCCUUCUGAAAGGAAGAUUAAUCCAGGAUGGCAUCAUGAGUUCACAUGUCCGCAUGAUUAAAGGUAUUUUCCGGUAGACGAUGGGGAUGCGUUCCGUUAGAUAGUAGGCGGGGUAACGGCCCACCUAGUCAACGAUGGAUAGGGGUUCUGAGAGGAAGGUCCCCCACAUUGGAACUGAGACACGGUCCAA